rnacentral:rRNA from 1 species
AUGGCGUUGCUUGACAUUAGGGGUAUGUUGCAGUCCAUGGGCAAAGACAUAUCUGAUUUCGCUCUUCCAUGCAUUGACGAUGCGUUCGACCCAACCGAGGGCGAGGCCAGAGAAGUGAUCGAGGAAUCCAACGUCGAUUUUGACAUCAACGACACUAAAUUGGCUUCGUCGCUAAACUUGGAGCAGAGGGCUGCAUACGACGAGAUACUAGCUUCUGUUGAACGCGGUGAUGGGGGUGUGUUCUUUGUUGAUGGACCGGGAGGUACAGGGAAGACCUUCCUGUACAGGGCGCUGCUCGCCAAGGUUCGAAGCGAGGGAAACAUCGCUAUCGCUACCGCGACGUCAGGCGUCGCCGCUUCUAUCAUGCCUGGAGGCAGGACUGCCCACUCGAGGUUCAAGAUCCCAUUGAGCUGCGACGAUGGCGCCUCAUGCACUUUCACGAAACAGAGUGGUACUGCCAAGCUACUGAGGAUGGCAUCAUUGAUACUAUGGGACUAG